AACGCACAUUGCGCCCGCCGGUAUUCCGGCGGGCAUGCCUGUUCGAGCGUCAUUUACACCGCUUAGGCCCUGCCUAGUGAUGGGGCUCUACAGCUGUAGCGGCUGUAGGCCCUUAAAAAGAGUGGCGAGCCCGUCGGGUCUCCGAGCGCAGUAAUUUUUCUCGCUAAGGAGAGACGGCGGCGCCCUGCCGUAAAACUCCCAACUUAACCAUUUUGACCUCGAAUCAGGUAGGGAUACCCGCUGAACUUAA
rnacentral:misc_RNA from 1 species